GACGAACGCUGGCGGCGUGCUUAACACAUGCAAGUCGAACGGUGAAGCGCCUUCCUUUUUGGGGGGUGUGGAUGAGUGGCGAACGGGUGAGUAACACGUGAGUAACCUGCCCCCUUCUUCUGGAUAACCGCAUGAAAGUGUGGCUAAUACGGGAUAUUCUGGGUCUGUCGCAUGAUGGGUCUGGGAAAGAUAUUGUUUCGGUGGGGGAUGGGCUCGCGGCCUAUCAGCUUGUUGGUGGGGUGAUGGCCUACCAAGGCGGUGACGGGUAGCCGGCCUGAGAGGGUGGACGGUCACACUGGGACUGAGACACGGCCCAGACUCCUACGGGAGGCAGCAGUGGGGAAUAUUGCACAAUGGGCGCAAGCCUGAUGCAGCGACGCCGCGUGAGGGAUGGAGGCCUUCGGGUUGUGAACCUCUUUCGCCAGUGAAGCAGGCCUGCCUCUUUUGUGGGUGGGUUGACGGUAGCUGGAUAAGAAGCGCCGGCUAACUACGUGCCAGCAGCCGCGGUAAUACGUAGGGCGCGAGCGUUGUCCGGAAUUAUUGGGCGUAAAGAGCUCGUAGGCGGCUGGUCGCGUCUGUCGUGAAAUCCUCUGGCUUAACUGGGGGCUUGCGGUGGGUACGGGCCGGCUUGAGUGCGGUAGGGGAGGCUGGAACUCCUGGUGUAGCGGUGGAAUGCGCAGAUAUCAGGAAGAACACCGGUGGCGAAGGCGGGUCUCUGGGCCGUUACUGACGCUGAGGAGCGAAAGCGUGGGGAGCGAACAGG
rnacentral:rRNA from 1 species